AAUCGGAAUUACUGGGCGUAAAGCGCACGCAGGCGGUUUGUUAAGCUAGAUGUGAAAGCCCCGGGCUCAACCUGGGAAUAGCAUUUAGAACUGGCAGACUAGAGUCUUGGAGAGGGGAGUGGAAUUUCUGGUGUAGCGGUGAAAUGCGUAGAUAUCAGAAGGAACAUCAGUGGCGAAGGCGACUCCCUGGCCAAAGACUGACGCUCAUGUGCGAAAGUGUGGGUAGCGAACAGGAUUAGAUACCCUGGUAGUCCACACCGUAAACGCUGUCUACUAGCUGUUUGUGGAUUUAAUCCGUGGGUAGCGAAGCUAACGCGAUAAGUAGACCGCCUGGGGAGUACGGCCGCAAGGUUAAAACUCAAAUGAAUUGACGGGGGCCCGCACAAGCGGUGGAGCAUGUGGUUUAAUUCGAUGCAACGCGAAGAACCUUACCUACUCUUGACAUACUAGAAACUUUUCAGAGAUGAAUUGGUGCCUUCGGGAAUCUAGAUACAGGUGCUGCAUGGCUGUCGUCAGCUCGUGUCGUGAGAUGUUGGGUUAAGUCCCGCAACGAGCGCAACCCUUGUCCUUAGUUGCCAGCCUUAAGUUGGGCACUCUAAGGAGACUGCCGGUGACAAACCGG
rnacentral:rRNA from 1 species